AGGCACAUCUUUUGCGCAAGGUAUCGAAGGGCGCUAUGUUCAAAAAUCUGAAACUAGAGCUCAAAAUUUGAAAAAAAAUUGUCAAAAACAGGGGGAUUGGCCUAUUCCAUGGCUUCUAGAGAAAAAUAAUGAGGGGUGUAACGGGGUAUGACUAUAUAGGUCUUGUAGAGGAGAAACAGGCGCAUCUUUUGCGCAAGGUAUCGAAGGGCGCUAUGUUCAAAAAUCUGAAACUAGAGCUCAAAAUUUGAAAAAAAAUUGUUAAAAACAGGGGGGUUGGCCUAUUCCAUGGCUUCUAGAGAAAAAUAAUGAGAGGUGUCACGGGGUAUGACUAUAUAGGUCUUGUAGAGGAGAAACAGGCGCAUCUUUUGCGCAAGGUAUUGAAGGGCGCUAUGUUCAAAAAUCUGAAACUAGAGCUCAAAAUUUGAAAAAAAAUUGUUAAAAACAGGGGGGUUGGCCUAUUCCAUGGCUUCUAGAGAAAAAUAAUGAGGGGUGUCACGGGGUAUGACUAUAUAGGUCUUGUAGAGGAGAAACAGGCGCAUCUUUUGCGCAAGGUAUUGAAGGGCGCUAUGUUCAAAAAUCUGAAACUAGAGCUCAAAAUUUGAAAAAAAAUUGUUAAAAACAGGGGGGUUGGCCUAUUCCAUGGCUUCUAGAGAAAAAUAAUGAGGGGUGUCACGGGGUAUGACUAUAUAGGUCUUGUAGAGGAGAAACAGGCGCAUCUUUUGCGCAAGGUAUCGAAGGGCGCUAUGUUCAAAAAUCUGAAACUAGAGCUCAAAAUGUGAAAAAAAAUUGUUAAAGUCAGGGGGGUUGGCCUAUUCCAUGGCUUCUAGAGAAAAAUAAUGAGGGGUGUUACGGGGUAUGACUAUAUAGGUCUUGUAGAGGAGAAACAGGCGCAUCUUUUGCGCAAGGUAUCAAAGGGCGCUAUGUUCAAAAAUCUAAAACUAGAGCUCAAAAUUUGAAAAAAAAAUUGUUAAAAACAGGGGGGUUGGCCUAUUCCAUGGCUUCUAGAGAAAAAUAAUGAGGGGUGUCACGGGGUAUGACUAUAAAGGUCUUGUAGAGGAGAAACAGGCGCAUCUUUUGCGCAAGGUAUCGAAGGGCGCUAUGUUAAAAAAUCUGAAACUAGAGCUCAAAAUUUGAAAAAAAAAAUGUUAAAAACAGGAGGGUUGGCCUAUUCCAUGGCUUCUAGAGAAAAAUAAUGAGGGGUGUCACGGGGUAUGACUAUAUAGGUCUUGUAGAGGAGAAACAGGCGCAUCUUUUGCGCAAGGUAUCGAAGGGCGCUAUGUUCAAAAAUUUGAAACUAGAGCUCAAAAUUUGAAAAAAAAUUGUUAAAAACAGGGGGGUUGGCCUAUUCCAUGGCUUCUAGAGAAAAAUAAUGAGGGGUGUCAUGGGGUAUGACUAUAUAGGUCUUGUAGAGGAGAGACAGGCGCAUCUUUUGCGCAAGGUAUCGAAGGGCGCUAUGUUCAAAAAUUUGAAAC